rnacentral:tRNA from 1 species
AAAAGUUCUAAAGGCAA